AAUGUAUGACAUAUGUCUAUUGCAGAUGUAUCAGUUUCCUUCCUGUGAUUGCAUGGUCAUCGGGCUUAAAGCCAAGUGCCACCUUUCCUAAGGUCUUCAUUAUGCAGUUCAGUCCACGUGCAUUCUUCAGAUCUCCAGCCUGUGACAGAAGCAGUCAGAACUGUCCCGCAGCAUUUCCUCUGGAAUCGGAGCCUCUCCUGCAGCCCUGGGAGCUCUCAACCGUUGCCUUCCUCGCACAGCCACAGCUCUGCCGCUGCCUGUUGAGAGCCUGACUGCAGCCGCCUGCAGCACCAGCUGGAAGAAGGCAAUCCUGCGUGUGGGGAGCUCCGCCCGGGGACAAACGUCUCCACGGAGUGAAGGCUUUGCAGUCUUCCUGUAAAUCUUCUAUCCAGGAAAACAGUUGGAUUUCCAUGUGUAGCUGCAGAAUCCUGCCAUGUUAAAAUAGAUUUCUGUUGCCAUCUGGUGGAUAACUGAAGAGGACCUGGAAAACUAGAAUAAAUAUCUAGAUUCACUC
rnacentral:lncRNA from 7 species